UAUGACUGGAGUUGUAGCUGGCCUUUAAAACGGCAUGUGCACGCUCCUUUCACUAAUCCACACACACCUGUGCACCUUCGCGGGGGUCUCUUCGUUAACUCGAAGAGGCUCGCGUCCCUUUACACACCCUUUGUAUGUCUUAAGAAUGUCUACUCGAUGUAAUAAAACGCAUCUAAUACAACUUUCAACAACGGAUCUCUUGGCUCUCGCAUCGAUGAAGAACGCAGCGAAAUGCGAUAAGUAAUGUGAAUUGCAGAAUUCAGUGAAUCAUCGAAUCUUUGAACGCACCUUGCGCCCUUUGGUAUUCCGAAGGGCACACCUGUUUGAGUGUCGUGAAAUUCUCAACCCUCUUCACUUUUGUGAACGUAGUGGAUUGGACUUGGAGGCUUUGCCGGGCUUCACCGCUCGGCUCCUCUCAAAUGCAUUAGUGCGUCUUGUUGCGACGUGCGCCUCGGUGUGAUAAUUAUCUACGCUGUGGUGUGCUUGCUUCUGUGGAGACGCGCUUUCUAACCGUCCGAAAGGACAGCUUUCAUCGAACUUUGACCUCAAAUCAGGUGGGACUACCCGCUGAACUUAAGCAUAUCAAUAAGCGAGGGAAAAAGAAAAAA
rnacentral:rRNA from 1 species